AGACAUUGGAAGAGAUGGAUGACUUCUCCCUCCUGGAGGCAGGGACCCUGCUCUCCAGCCUGGAUCUUCAAAUAUAAAUUCAAUUCUUCCCUCUGCCCAGAGGCUGCUCAUUACUCCGUGUUUUUAGCCACGUGACGACUUCCUCUGGAAAACUACCAAUCUGUGGAUAUAUUGCACACUUAUGCACUGAUACCAUGAAAACGGAAAUCAAAACACUUUUAAUGUUGCCACGUGUCUGGUGCCCUGUUGUGAUUAUGAGCCCUCUACCAGCCGGGACAGGGACCCCUCCUUUCCUCACUAGAACGUGAUUCUCAAACCCUUCUCUCCCAAGCAAUAGUCCCUCUCUGUGACAGAAAACCUGGGACAUGAUUUGGCCCGUGGCUCCCAAGGGCAGUUUCUUUGUUUUACUACUCAUUGGUAGUUUGCUGUUGUUUUGUAUUCUUUUGAAAAUAAGCUGUUAAAAAAAUUGGUGACUGCCUAGCAAUAAAAGCAUAGAGAUUUGGCCUGGGGUAUUUGAGUCACACAAGAUUAUUUGAAAUACUGUAAUCUUGUUUUCUCUCCAUUUCUCCCUCCAUGACUAAACAGGGCUCACAGAUGACAGGGUUAACCUCAUUUUAAAAAAUGUAUAACAUGCUUGCACAAAUCCUAUGUGCUUAUAGUUGGCUUUCAUUCUAAUCUCUUUAAGUUUACCUGAGGUCUCUCUGGUUCUAAUGCAAGUUUCGUGGAAAAAAGUCCCCCAAAGUAAAAUGCAAUCGUUCUCCAUUAUUCUGUCGCCUGUGGGAUGGUAUUGGAUGGAGGAGUGGGAUUUCAUUGUCAUAGAGAACUCCCAGGUGAGGAAAUUUCUUCUCCCAAAGCACGUGGCAUCUCCUGUGGGACCUAUAGUCUUAGAGUUUGCUAGAACAGAGGUGUCCCACACAGCUUGCAAAACUCCCAAGUGAAAUCAGAACCAAAUUAAAAUAUAAUUGGGCAAUCUAAAAAAAAACAACAAAAAUACAAAAGAAUGUAGAUAAUGUGAAUAAGAGAAUUUCAAAGUCAGUAUGCAGCUUGCAAAGAUGUUUCUAUAGGAUUUCAAGUCAGGCUCCCCAGGCCAGCUCCCUAGUCUCUAAGUCAUGCUGUCUCUCAUUGCCGGGAGGAAAAUGUAGAAAUAAUAGGAAGAUAGCCAAAGUCAGAGUCAUUGUAAUCCUCAAUCUUGAUUUGGGAAAAUAAACAAUAGAAUUCAUUCCUGCUUCUUUGUUCUUUCUGAGAGGUGGGGAACUACAAAAGCAGAAUAUGACAUUCAUUGUCAGAUGUGGUCUUUUUUUUGUCAAUUGAUUUUGUUUAAUUCUGCGUGUGUGUAUGUUAUUUAUGUUAUAAGGGAGGGUUAAAUGGAGGGGUGGGAGGGAAUAUCAGGAAAUAACUAAUAUAGAGAAUCAAAAACAUCAAUAAAACUUAACCCCCCACAUAA